AUGGGCGAUACUUCACCGAAGAGCAGCGGCGGCGGAAAGUACACGCCGCCGGCGAAGAGGACCGGGGAUGACGACACGGGCGCAGAGGUGGCGAUCGUGCCGCGUGCGCCGUCGAGGACCGGCGGCGUCCCGAUCCAGUACCCAAUGCUCACGGACUCGAACUAUGGUCUGUGGGCGGUGAAGAUGAAGAUCCUGCUGCGUCCGUAUGGCGUGUGGCCGGCGCUCGAGGGCACGGGCGAGUUUAACCAGAGCAGGGACGACGAAGCGUUUGCCGCACUCUCUCAGCCGGUUCCCGACUCGGUGAUGAUGGCGGUGGCUGAUUGCACUACCGCCCACGAGGCCUUGGAGGCGAUCCGGCGCAUGCGCGUCGGCGAGGACCGUGUCAAGAAGGCGCGGGUCAAGCAGUUGAAGCGGCAGCUCGACCGCAUGGAGAUGGACGACGGUGAGUCUGUCAGUGUGUUUGCGCAGAAAUUGAUGACGCUCGUUGGAGAAAUCCGAUCGCUGGGCGAGACGGUGUCAGAUGAGUCGAUCAUUGAGGUCCUCUUCAACGCCGCCCCGAGCCGGUUUGGGGACAUCGUGAACACCAUUGAGCAGUGGGGUGACCUCACUACCAUGACCGUGUCGGAGGCAGUCGGUCGCCUCGCCGCGUUCGAAGAGAGCCAACGCGGGCGGCGGCGUCACUCCGGUGUGAAGGAGGACCAACUGAUGUUCAUGACGCAGGCACUUGAACAGCUGAUGAACGGCAAAAAGGGGUCACCCGGAGCCGGCAGCAGUAACACCGGUCGUGGACGUGGAGGCGGUCGAGGUCGCGGCGCUGGCCGCGGAGGCCGUGGUGAUCGUGGACAAGCCGGGCGCGGUGAGAGCAAGGAUGCCUGGAAGCAGAAGAAGCACCACAAAUUUGACAUCACAAAGGUUAGGUGUUUCGAUUGUAAUGAAAUGGGCCACUUUCAGUCUGACUGCCCGGAGCCGAAGCGCGAGCAGGCGAACUUUGCGCAGGCAGAAGAGGUUGAAGAUGCUGCACUCCUUAUGCUGGAGACAUGUGAGAUGAUGCCUUCAGACCCCAUCACCUCUGAACAAGUACUGUUGAAUGAAGAGAAAGUGGCGCCUAAACUGACGGGUAGCCACGACGUCGCUUGGUACCUAGAUACAGGGGCAAGUAACACAUGA
rnacentral:rRNA from 1 species